GAGUUACUAGCUUAAUGGUAAAGCAUUCGCCUUUUAAGUGAUCUAUCUGAGUUCAAUUCUCAGGUAACUCA
rnacentral:tRNA from 1 species